rnacentral:rRNA from 1 species
AUUGAACGCUGGCGGCAUGCCUUACACAUGCAAGUCGAACGGCAGCACGGGAGCAAUCCUGGUGGCGAGUGGCGAACGGGUGAGUAAUAUAUCGGAACGUGCCCGGCCGUGGGGGAUAACGUAGCGAAAGCUACGCUAAUACCGCAUACGAUCUAUGGAUGAAAGCGGGGGAUCGCAAGACCUCGCGCGAUUGGAGCGGCCGAUAUCAGAUUAGGUAGUUGGUGAGGUAAAGGCUCACCAAGCCGACGAUCUGUAGCUGGUCUGAGAGGACGACCAGCCACACUGGGACUGAGACACGGCCCAGACUCCUACGGGAGGCAGCAGUGGGGAAUUUUGGACAAUGGGCGCAAGCCUGAUCCAGCAAUGCCGCGUGCAGGAUGAA